rnacentral:misc_RNA from 1 species
UUUCCGUAGGUGAACCUGCGGAAGGAUCAUUAUUGUAUAACCGAGGUGCGAGGGCUUUCGCUGACCCGAAAGGUCGUGCACGCCCGAGUGCCCUCACACACAUCCAUCUCACCCCUAUGUGCACCACCGCGUGGGUCCCCCUUUGGCUUGUUCGGAGGGGGGCUUACGUCUUCACACAAACUUUGUAUGUAGUGUAGAAUGUAUUUUUUGUUUUUGCGAUCACGCAAUCAAUACAACUUUCAACAACGGAUCUCUUGGCUCUC